AACGAACGCUGGCGGCAUGCCUAACACAUGCAAGUCGAACGAGACCUUCGGGUCUAGUGGCGCACGGGUGCGUAACGCGUGGGAACCUGCCCUUAGGUUCGGAAUAACUCCCCGAAAGGGGUGCUAAUACCGGAUAAUUUCUUCGGACCAAAGAUUUAUCGCCUUUGGAUGGGCCCGCGUUGGAUUAGCUAGUUGGUAGGGUAAAAGCCUACCAAGGCGACGAUCUAUAGCUGGUCUGAGAGGAUGAUCAGCCACACUGGGACUGAGACACGGCCCAGACUCCUACGGGAGGCAGCAGUGGGGAAUAUUGGACAAUGGGCGAAAGCCUGAUCCAGCAAUGCCGCGUGAGUGAUGAAGGCCUUAGGGUUGUAAAGCUCUUUUACCCGGGAUGAUAAUGACAGUACCGGGAGAAUAAGCUCCGGCUAACUCCGUG
rnacentral:rRNA from 1 species